UGAUAGUGGUUAGGACAAUCUCUGAGAAGACCCUUGAACCUUUCCCAUGCCUGAUAUAGAUUCUCACCAUCUUUCUGCUUGAAUGAUAUGAUUUCUUUCCUGAGUCU